CUCCAUGGCCAUACCACCCUUAAGGUGCCCAAUCUUGUCUGAUCUUGGAAGAUAAGCAGGGUCCAGCCUACAAUCCCAGUGAUUCCAGAGGCUGAGGCAG
ensembl:rRNA 5S_rRNA 5S ribosomal RNA